GACGAACGCUGGCGGCGUGCUUAACACAUGCAAGUCGAACGGAAAGGCCCUGCUUUUGUGGGGUGCUCGAGUGGCGAACGGGUGAGUAACACGUGAGUAACCUGCCCUUGACUUUGGGAUAACUUCAGGAAACUGGGGCUAAUACCGGAUAGGAGCUCCUGCUGCAUGGUGGGGGUUGGAAAGUUUCGGCGGUUGGGGAUGGACUCGCGGCUUAUCAGCUUGUUGGUGGGGUAGUGGCUUACCAAGGCUUUGACGGGUAGCCGGCCUGAGAGGGUGACCGGCCACAUUGGGACUGAGGUACGGCCCAGACGCCUACGGGAGGCAGCAGUGGGGAAUAUUGCACAAUGGGCGGAAGCCUGAUGCAGCAACGCCGCGUGCGGGAUGACGGCCUUCGGGUUGUAAACCGCUUUCGCCUGUGACGAAGCGUGAGUGACGGUAAUGUGUAAAGAAGCACCGGCUAACUACGUG
rnacentral:rRNA from 1 species